GCGUUCGCGAAACUCCAGUUGGUUAGAGCACCACCUUGACAUGGUGGGGGUCGUUGGUUCGAGGAUCAAUUGAACGCACCA
rnacentral:tRNA from 1 species